GACGGAGGAUGCAAGCGUUAUCCGGAAUUAUUGGGCGUAAAGCGUCCGCAGGUGGCUGUUCAAGUCUGCUGUCAAAGCGCAGAGCUUAACUCUGUACAGGCGGUGGAAACUGAAGAGCUAGAGUGUGGUAGGGGUAGAGGGAAUUCCCGGUGUAGCGGUGAAAUGCGUAGAGAUCGGGAAGAACAUCGGUGGCGAAGGCGCUCUACUGGACCACAACUGACACUCAGGGACGAAAGCUAGGGGAGCGAAUGGG
rnacentral:rRNA from 1 species